UCCGGUUGAUCCUGCCGGACCUGACUGCUAUCGGAUUGAUACUAAGCCAUGCGAGUCAUUGUAGCAAUACAAGGCAGACGGCUCAGUAACGCGUAGUCAAUCUACCCUAUGGACGGGGAUAACCUCGGGAAACUGAGAAUAAUACCCGACAGAACAUUAUGCCUGGAAUGGCUUAUGUUUUAAAUGAUUUAUCGCCGUAGGAUGGGACUGCGGCCUAUCAGUUUGUUGGUGAGGUAAUGGCCCACCAAGACUAUUACAGGUACGGGCUCUGAGAGGAGUGGCCCGGAGAUGGGUACUGAGACACGGACCCAGGCCCUAUGGGGCGCAGCAGGCGAGAAAACUUUGCAAUGUGCGAAAGCACGACAAGGUUAAUCCGAGUGGUUUCUGCUAAAGAAACCUUUUGUUAGUCCUAGAAACACUGAUGAAUAAGGGGUGGGCAAGUUCUGGUGUCAGCCGCCGCGGUAAAACCAGCACCUCAAGUGGUCAGGAUGAUUAUUGGGCCUAAAGCAUCCGUAGCUUGCUUUGUAAGUUCUCGGUUAAAUCCAUACGCUUAACGUAUGGGCUGCCGGUAAUACUGCAAAGCUAGGGAGUGGGAGAGGUAGACGGUACUCGGUAGGAAGGGGUAAAAUCCUUUGAUCUAUUGAUGACCACCUGUGGCGAAGGCGGUCUACCAGAACACGUCCGACGGUGAGGGAUGAAAGCUGGGGGAGCAAACCGGAUUAGAUACCCGGGUAGUCCCAGCUGUAAACUAUGCAAACUCAGUGAUGCAUUGGCUUGUGGCCAAUGCAGUGCUGCAGGGAAGCCGUUAAGUUUGCCGCCUGGGAAGUACGUACGCAAGUAUGAAACUUAAAGGAAUUGGCGGGAAGGGCGAAUUCGU
rnacentral:rRNA from 1 species